GAUGAAGAACGUAGUGAAAUGCGAUAAGUAAUGUGAAUUGCAGAAUUCAGUGAAUCAUCGAAUCUUUGAACGCACAUUGCGCCCGCCAGUAUUCUGGCGGGCAUGCCUGUUCAAGCGUCAUUUCAACCAUCAAGCCCUGCUUGCGUUGGGGUCCUGCGGCUGCCCGCAGGCCCUGAAAACCAGUGGCGGGCUCGCUAGUCACACCGAGCGCAGUAAUACAUCUCGCUUUGGGCGUGCGGCGGGUUCUUGCCGUUAAACACCCCCUUUUUACCAAGGUUGACCUCGGAUCAGGUAGGAAUACCCGCUGAACUUAAGCAUAUCAAUAAGCGGAGGA
rnacentral:misc_RNA from 1 species